CAGCACUUGAUACUGAGUUAUCUGUGGCCUAGCCUUGUUUUGUAUCAGAGGCUCGUGGUGUGGUGACAGCUGGUCGAAGUGCAGUAUUUAAAAAGCCACGAGCAUCUUCAGCGCAGUGUGCAGACAUGCUCUGAAUUAUAUCUCAGGGGCACACUG